GUGCUUGUUUCAGCAGCACAUAUACUAAAAUUGGUAUGAUACAGAGAAGAUUAGCAUGGCCCCCGUGCAAAGAUGACACACAAAUUUGUGAAGCGUUCCAUGUUUUA